GAAUCAUUUUGCAGUCGAGGUGCGUCAGUGGCAGAUGAAGGCUCAGCUCCAGGUUCAGCUACAGAUGAUUUGUGUAACCUUGGUGCUAACAGGAAAAUGAAUAUGCUCAGCCCUACGUGUGUUGUAUCAGAGAGGUACGUGUGAGACACCUUCCUCACCUACGACCACAUCACUGCUACAUCCAUAGCUUCCGGUGCACCUUUGGGACUGUGUGUUCUGCGGCACCCCCAAAUACUCUGGAGAGGGCAAACGCAACAGAGAGCAAAAGAAACUAAAAGCUGGAGAGCUCAGCUGGACUUCCAUCAACUAGAGGAGGGCCUGGAGAAGGGAAGAAGGUGACCUGUGCCUGCCUGCGACCCUAUGAACUACAGCCCCACUUUCCUGAUCACAUUUCUUUGGACUUGAAUAUACACUGCCAUUGUGGAAUGCCUUUCCCUCUACCACCACCUCUUCAAAAUAAACAUGAGAGUUGAAGCCUUUCACAAGAUUGGCUGCAACACAGCCGAGUUUGCAUCUUAGCUAACUAAAUAAAGGCAUU